UGGCGGACGGGUGAGUAACGCGUGGAUAACCUGCCCCAUACCGGGGGAUAACAGCCGGAAACGGCUGCUAAUACCGCAUAAGCGCACGGGAAUGCAUGUUUCAGUGUGAAAAACUCCGGUGGUAUGGGAUGGAUCCGCGUCUGAUUAGCUGGUUGGCGGGGUAGAGGCCCACCAAGGCGACGAUCAGUAGCCGACCUGAGAGGGUGGCCGGCCACAUUGGGACUGAGACACGGCCCAGACUCCUACGGGAGGCAGCAG
rnacentral:rRNA from 1 species